GACGAACGCUGGCGGCGUGCUUAACACAUGCAAGUCGAACGGAAAGGCCCUGCUUUUGUGGGGUGCUCGAGUGGCGAACGGGUGAGUAACACGUGAGUAACCUGCCCUUUACUUUGGGAUAACUUCAGGAAACUUGGGCUAAUACCGGAUAGGAUCUCCUGCUGCAUGGUGGGGUUUGGAAAGUUUCGUCGGUUGGGGAUGGACUCGCGGCUUAUCAGCUUGUUGGUGGGGUAGUGGCUUACCAAGGCUUUGACGGGUAGCCGGCAUGAGAGGGUGACCGGCAAAAUUGGGAAUGAGAUACGGCACAGACUACAACGGGAGGCAGCAGGGGGGAAGAGUGCACAAUGGGAGGAAGCAUGAUGAAGAAAAGCAGCGUGCGGGAUGACGGCCUUCGGGUUGUAAACCGAUUUCGAAUGUGAAGAAGAGUGAGUGACGGUAAUGGGUAAAGAAGCACCGGCUAACUACGUG
rnacentral:rRNA from 1 species